UACAGAGGAUGCAAGCGUUAUCCGGAAUGAUUGGGCGUAAAGCGUCUGUAGGUGGCUUUUUAAGUCCGCCGUCAAAUCCCAGGGCUCAACUCUGGACAGGCGGUGGAAACUACCAAGCUGGAGUACGGUAGGGGAGAAUGGAAUUCCCGGUGUAGCGGUGAAAUGCGCAGAUAUCGGGAGGAACACCGGUGGCGAAGGCGGUUCUCUGGGCCUUACCUGACGCUGAGGAGCGAAAGCGUGGGGAGCGAACAGG
rnacentral:rRNA from 1 species